rnacentral:rRNA from 1 species
GUGAGGAAUAUUGCGCAAUGGAGGCAACUCUGACGCAGCCAUGCCGCGUGCAGGAAGAAGGCGCUACGCGUUGUAAACUGCUUUUAACCGGGAAGAAACCCCAGGACGUGUCCUGGGUUGACGGUACCGGAGGAAUAAGCACCGGCUAACUUCGUGCCAGCAGCCGCGGUAAUACGAAGGGUGCAAGCGUUAUCCGGAUUCAUUGGGUUGAAAGGGUGCGUAGGCGGAGCGUUAAGUCAGUGGUGAAAUCCUGCAGCUUAACUGUAGACUUGCCAUUGAUACUGGCGCUCUUGAGUGCGCUUGAAGUGGGCGGAAUGUGCCGUGUAGCGGUGAAAUGCUUAGAUAUGGCACAGAACACCAAUUGCGAAGGCAGCUCACUAAGGCGAUACUGACGCUGAGGCACGAAAGCGUGGGGAUCGAACAGGAUUAGAUACCCGGGUAGUCC